rnacentral:rRNA from 1 species
GCAAGGAAUUUUGCGCAAUGGGCGAAAGCCUGACGCAGCGACGCCGCGUGAGGGAUGAAGGCCUUCGGGUUGUAAACCUCUUUUCUCAGGGAAGAAUUAUGACGGUACCUGAGGAAUAAGUCUCGGCCAACUACGUGCCAGCAGCCGCGGUAAUACGUAGGAGGCAAGCGUUAUCCGGAUUUAUUGGGCGUAAAGAGCACGCAGGUGGCUUGUCAAGUCUGGUGUAAAAUCUCCCGGCUUAACUGGGAGGGAUCAUUGGAAACUGACGAGCUAGAGGGCAGCAGAGGGAGGUGGAAUUCCCGGUGUAGUGGUGAAAUGCGUAGAUAUCGGGAGGAACACCAGUGGCGAAAGCGGCCUUCUGGGCUGUUCCUGACACUGAGGUGCGAAAGCGUGGGGAGCGAACAGGAUUAGAUACCCGGGUAGUCC